GUGUGGAGCAGCCUGGAGGUGGUUUUUGGAGAAGAGAGAGCUCUCUUCUGAGGAAGAAGUAUUACCCGGUUGCAGUAACUGUUGAGAAGUGAUUGUCUGGAAGUCCACAUGUCGGUGAAGCCAUGGAGGGCGGGGAAGGAACCCAUCCGAUUGAUGUGAAUGGUGGAGUGUCACUCAUUGGACCAGCUGCCCCUGAAAAAAUUCUCAGCCAACACUUCCAAACCUCUCUCCUCGCCCAGCCACCCCUACGAGAUUGGGAGGGAUGCGGUUUACACCGGAACCUUUGGCGCUUAUUAUGAAGACAUCAAAAAAUAUUUUAUCUGUGGGCAGUGAAAUGAAGUAAGAAACGAGGCUGUUUGUAGGAAAGCAUCAGCCAUUAAAUGAUCAAACCUGGAAUCAGAGCGCCCGGCUCUGGCAUCAUUAGCUUCAUGGCCUCAGACCCUCUCUGAGUCUCAGCCCUCGCCUGUAAAGGGCUGCCAGGGCAUUUAAAUAACUUGCUUGAAACAGCUGGGAUAGCGUCUAGUUCUCGAAGUGUGGUCCCCAAACCAGCAGCAUCAGCAGCAUCUGAGAACUUGUUAGAAACGCACCUUUCCAGCCCCACCUCACCUGCUGAAUCAGAGCGGGCAGGGAGGAAGCGACAGCAAUCUGUUUUUAUAAGCCCUCCAGGAUCUCCUUGGAGAAGACAAGACACGCAGUGCCCUGUGCCCAUGCAGGGGACUACACUUCAUCUACCACUGGCCCCCAGCCCUGCUUGCACAGUUAUGACGGAAGCCCUCAUUGCUCCUGGAAUACUUCCUGGAGACUCAGACAAGAAGGGUCACUCCCCCGGGUGCUGUGCUAUGGAGGGACCAGCAAAUCAGAAACACAAAAAAUUGUUGAAGGACACGCGGUGACUCUGUUCAGCAGGACGUGGUGCUCAGCACUGAAUAGUCAACCCAGAACCCCAGACGUCCACUCUCAUGACUGACAGUGUUCAAGCCCCAGGGAAACGCUUCCCCGAAUCUCUUCUGCACACCUCUUCCCUAGAUCCCCAAACAAAAGGCAACUCCCCGAGAGCUACUAAACUUGGGGCUUGUGUCAUUACUCAUGUAUGAGAAAAACACAACUUCCUUCACAUUGCCGAGGAAUUUCAGUGGGCAAGGGUUAAGGAAAGACAUAUGAAGAAGCUUGCUAUUCUGGGCUGAGUUGUGUCUUCCCAAAAUUCCUAUGUUGAAGACUAGUGCUUCAGAAUGUGACUGUAUUUGGAGACAAAGUCUUUAAAGAGGUAAUUAAGUUAAAAUGAGGUCACUGGUGGGCCCUAAUCCAGUACAAUCGGUGUCCCUAGAAGAAGAAAAGAUGAGGACACAGAUACACACAGAGGGAAGACUGUGAAGACAUGGGGAGAAGAUGGUUGUCCACGAGCAAGGAGAG
rnacentral:lncRNA from 1 species